UGAAGCUGUACGAUGCGUUCAGAAUAUUUUUAAGAUUUCUGAUGAAAUAUCAGCAUUAGUUUUUUUAUCGUGCUCUGAUGAUUUUCAAGGAGAAGAGAUUAUUGACUGUAUAAUAAAAAUAUAUAAGAAUAAAAAUGCUCCUUCUGAAUCAGACGAAAGAGAAAUGGAUGCAGCAUUUUCGUCUUGUUCAGAAGAAUCAAGAAUUUUCAAUAAUUAAUUAAUAAGUCUAGAUUUAUAUAUUUUAUUGUAAAAAAAUGAAAUG